UUUAAUGGAGAGUUUGAUCCUGGCUCAGGACGAACGCUGGCGGCGUGCCUAAUACAUGCAAGUCGAGCGGGGUUAGUUAGAAGCUUGCUUCUAACUAACCUAGCGGCGGACGGGUGAGUAACACGUAGGCAACCUGCCCACAAGACAGGGAUAACUACCGGAAACGGUAGCUAAUACCCGAUACAUCCUUUUUCUGCAUGGGAGAAGGAGGAAAGGCGGAGCAAUCUGUCACUUGUGGAUGGGCCUGCGGCGCAUUAGCUAGUUGGUGGGGUAAAGGCCUACCAAGGCGACGAUGCGUAGCCGACCUGAGAGGGUGAUCG
rnacentral:rRNA from 1 species